rnacentral:rRNA from 1 species
UCAGAUGCGAAAGCGUGGGUAGCAAACAGGAUUAGAUACCCUGGUAGUCCACGCCGUAAACGCUGUCUACUUGGAGGUUGAGGUUUUAGACUUUGGCUUUCGGCGCUAACGCAUUAAGUAGACCGCCUGGGGAGUACGGCCGCAAGGUUAAAACUCAAAUGAAUUGACGGGGGCCCGCACAAGCGGUGGAGCAUGUGGUUUAAUUCGAUGCAACGCGAAGAACCUUACCUACUCUUGACAUCCAGCGAAGCCUUUAGAGAUAGAGGUGUGCCUUCGGGAGCGCUGAGACAGGUGCUGCAUGGCUGUCGUCAGCUCGUGAUGUGAAAUGUUGGGUUAAGUCCCGCAACGAGCGCAACCCUUAUCCUUGUUUGCCAGCACAUAAUGGUGGGAACUCCAGGGAGACUGCCGGUGAUAAACCGGAGGAAGGUGGGGACGACGUCAAGUCAUCAUGGCCCUUACGAGUAGGGCUACACACGUGCUACAAUGGCAGAUACAGAGGGCAGCGAGACAGCGAUGUUUAGCGAAUCCCUUAAAGUUUGUCGUAGUCCGGAUUGGAGUCCGCAACUCGACUCCAUGAAGUCGGAAUCGCUAGUAAUCGUGGAUCAGAAUGCCACGGUGAAUACGUUCCCGGGCCUUGUACACUCCGCCC